UACGGGGGGGGCAAGCGUUGUUCGGAAUUACUGGGCGUAAAGGGCUCGUAGGUGGCCAACUAAGUCAGACGUGAAAUCCCCAGGCUCAACUUGACGGAAGCUGGUAAAACUGUUCUGCUAGAGGGCAAAAGAAGUUGGCGGAACUCACAUGAGGAAGGGUGAAAUCUAUUGAUCCAUGGAGGACCACCAAAAAAGGCGAAGGCAGCUAACUAUUUUACUCCUGACACUGAGGCAUGAAAGCGUGGGUAGCAAACCGG
rnacentral:rRNA from 1 species